rnacentral:rRNA from 1 species
GAUGAACGCUAGCGGCAGGCUUAAUACAUGCAAGUCGAGGGGCAGCACAGAUAGCAAUAUUGGGUGGCGACCGGCAAACGGGUGCGGAACACGUACACAACCUUCCUUUUGGUGGGGGAUAGCCUUUGGAAACGGAGAUUAAUACCCCAUACGAUAUUGUGACCGCAUGGUUAUGAUAUUAAAGAUUUAUUGCCAGAAGAUGGGUGUGCGUAUGAUUAGGUAGUUGGCGAGGUAAAGGCUCACCAAGCCGACGAUCAUUAACUGGUGUGAGAGCACGACCAGUCACACGGGCACUGAGACACGGGCCCGACUCCUACGGGAGGCAGCAGUAAGGAAUAUUGGUCAAUGGACGGAAGUCUGAACCAGCCACGCCGCGUGAAGGAAGGCGGCCCUAUGGGUUGUAAACUUCUUUUCUACGGGAAUAAACCUCGGGACGUGUCCCGAGCUGAAGGUAUCGUAGGAAUAAGGAUCGGCUAACUCCGUGCCAGCCGCCGCAGUAAUAC